GAUGAAGAACGUAGUGAAAUGCGAUAAGUAAUGUGAAUUGCAGAAUUCAGUGAAUCAUCGAAUCUUUGAACGCACAUUGCGCCCCCUGGCAUUCCGGGGGGCAUGCCUGUCCGAGCGUCAUUGCUGCCCUUCAAGCCCGGCUUGUGUGUUGGGUCGUCGUCCCCCCCGGGGGACGGGCCCGAAAGGCAGCGGCGGCACCGCGUCCGGUCCUCGAGCGUAUGGGACUUUGUCACCCGCUCGAUUAGGGCCGGCCGGGCGCCAGCCGGCGUCUCCAACCUUCUAUUUUACCAGGUUGACCUCGGAUCAGGUAGGGAUACCCGCUGAACUUAAGCAUAUCAAUAAGCGGAGGA
rnacentral:misc_RNA from 1 species